rfam:Candidatus Wolfebacteria bacterium RIFCSPLOWO2_01_FTLL_47_17b rifcsplowo2_01_scaffold_616, whole genome shotgun sequence.
GGGUAGGUAGUCUCGUAGGGGCCGAGGCCGGUCUGUAAAACCGUUAGCCAUUGUGCUCGCGUGAGUUCGACUCUCACCCUACCCA